rnacentral:rRNA from 1 species
UUAAGUUAAUAAGGGCGCACGGUGGAUGCCUUGGCGCUAGGAGCCGACGAAGGACGUGACAAACGACGAUAUGCCUUGGGUAGCUGUAAGUAAGCGAUGAUCCAGGGAUUUCCGAAUGGGGGAACCCAACAGGUAAUACCUGUUACCUACAUCUGUUAAGGAUGUGAGGAGGAAGACGCAGUGAACUGAAACAUCUAAGUAGCUGCAGGAAGAGAAAGCAAAAGCGAUUGCCUUAGUAGCGGCGAGCGAAACGGCAGAAGGGCAAACCGAAGAGUUUACUCUUCGGGGUUGUAGGACUGCAAUGUGGACUCAAAGAUUAUAGAAGAAUGAUUUGGGAAGAUCAGCCAAAGAGAGUAAUAGCCUCGUAUUUAAAAUAGUCUUUGUACUUAGCAGUAUCCUGAGUACGGCGGGACACGUGAAAUCCCGUCGGAAUCUGGGAGGACCAUCUCCCAACCCUAAAUACUCCCUAGUGACCGAUAGUGAACCAGUACCGUGAGGGAAAGGUGAAAAGCACCCCGGGAGGGGAGUGAAAUAGAACCUGAAACCGUGUGCCUACAACAAGUUCGAGCCCGUUAAUGGGUGAGAGCGUGCCUUUUGUAGAAUGAACCGGCGAGUUACGUUAUGAUGCGAGGUUAAGUUGAAGAGACGGAGCCGUAGGGAAACCGAGUCUGAAUAGGGCGCCUUAGUAUCAUGACGUAGACCCGAAACCAUGUGACCUACCCAUGAGCAGGUUGAAGGUGCGGUAAGACGCACUGGAGGACCGAACCAGGGCACGUUGAAAAGUGCUUGGAUGACUUGUGGGUAGCGGAGAAAUUCCAAACGAACUUGGAGAUAGCUGGUUCUCUCCGAAAUAGCUUUAGGGCUAGCGUCGACAUUAGAGAUUCUUGGAGGUAGAGCACUGUUUGGGUGAGGGAUCCAUCCCGGAUUACCAAUCUCAGAUAAACUCCGAAUGCCAAUGAAUUAUGGUCGGCAGUCAGACUGCGAGUGCUAAGAUCCGUAGUCGAAAGGGAAACAGCCCAGACCACCAGCUAAGGUCCCAAAAUAAUUGUUAAGUGGAAAAGGAUGUGGGGUUGCACAGACAACUAGGAUGUUAGCUUAGAAGCAGCUAUUCAUUCAAAGAGUGCGUAAUAGCUCACUAGUCGAGUGACCCUGCGCCGAAAAUGUACCGGGGGCUAAAACAAUUUACCGAAGCUGUGGAUACCUUUAUAGGUAUGGUAGGAGAGCGUUCUAUGUGUGAUGAAGGUAUACCGUGAGGAGUGCUGGAACGCAUAGAAGUGAGAAUGCCGGUAUGAGUAGCGAAAGACAGGUGAGAAUCCUGUCCACCGUAAGACUAAGGUUUCCAGGGGAAGGCUCGUCCGCCCUGGGUUAGUCGGGACCUAAGGAGAGACCGAAAGGUGUAUCCGAUGGACAACAGGUUGAUAUUCCUGUACUAGAGUAUGUAGUGAUGGAGGGACGCAGUAGGCUAACUAAAGCAGACGAUUGGAAGAGUCUGUCUAAGCAGUGAGGUGUGAAUUGAGUCAAAUGCUUAAUUCUAUAACAUUGAGCUGUGAUGGGGAGCGAAGUUUAGUAGCGAAGUUAGUGACGUCACACUGCCAAGAAAAGCUUCUAGCGUUUAAACAUACUCUACCCGUACCGCAAACCGACACAGGUAGUCGAGGCGAGUAGCCUCAGGUGAGCGAGAGAACUCUCGUUAAGGAACUCGGCAAAAUGACCCCGUAACUUCGGGAGAAGGGGUGCUGACUUUAAGUCAGCCGCAGUGAAUAGGCCCAAGCAACUGUUUAUCAAAAACACAGCUCUCUGCUAAAUCGUAAGAUGAUGUAUAGGGGGUGACGCCUGCCCGGUGCUGGAAGGUUAAGAGGAGUGCUUAGCGUAAGCGAAGGUAUGAAUUGAAGCCCCAGUAAACGGCGGCCGUAACUAUAACGGUCCUAAGGUAGCGAAAUUCCUUGUCGGGUAAGUUCCGACCCGCACGAAAGGCGUAAUGAUUUGGGCACUGUCUCAACGAGAGACUCGGUGAAAUUUUAGUACCUGUGAAGAUGCAGGUUACCCGCGACAGGACGGAAAGACCCCAUGGAGCUUUACUGCAGUUUGAUAUUGAGUGUCUGUACCACAUGUACAGGAUAGGUAGGAGUCUAAGAGGUCGGGACGCCAGUUUCGAAGGAGACGCUGUUGGGAUACUACCCUUGUGUUAUGGCCACUCUAACCCAGAUAGGUGAUCCCUAUCGGAGACAGUGUCUGACGGGCAGUUUGACUGGGGCGGUCGCCUCCUAAAAGGUAACGGAGGCGCCCAAAGGUUCCCUCAGAAUGGUUGGAAAUCAUUCGCAGAGUGUAAAGGUAUAAGGGAGCUUGACUGCGAGAGCUACAACUCGAGCAGGGACGAAAGUCGGGCUUAGUGAUCCGGUGGUUCCGUAUGGAAGGGCCAUCGCUCAACGGAUAAAAGCUACCCUGGGGAUAACAGGCUUAUCUCCCCCAAGAGUUCACAUCGACGGGGAGGUUUGGCACCUCGAUGUCGGCUCGUCGCAUCCUGGGGCUGUAGUCGGUCCCAAGGGUUGGGCUGUUCGCCCAUUAAAGCGGCACGCGAGCUGGGUUCAGAACGUCGUGAGACAGUUCGGUCCCUAUCCGUCGCGGGCGUAGGAAAUUUGAGAGGAUCUGCUCCUAGUACGAGAGGACCAGAGUGGACUUACCGCUGGUGUACCAGUUGUCUUGCCAAAGGCAUCGCUGGGUAGCUAUGUAGGGAAGGGAUAAACGCUGAAAGCAUCUAAGUGUGAAACCCACCUCAAGAUGAGAUUUCCCAUGAUUAUAUAUCAGUAAGAGCCCUGAGAGAUGAUCAGGUAGAUAGGUUAGAAGUGGAAGUGUGGCGACACAUGUAGCGGACUAAUACUAAUAGCUCGAGGACUUAUCCAA